UAAUAAAGCAUAAAAUAACACCUUAUAAACACGGGAAAGCGUAUGUUUGAGCUUAGAUUUUUCAGUACAACAAAAGAGAGUAGCGAUGAUACUAAUUGAAUUUACCAAAUCAUAUGCAAGCUGGUUUCUGAAGAAGGAAGUACUGUUGCAUAAACUCCAUCCGUCAAACUGUCUAUUUAUAUAACAAGAAGACUUUUCAACAAAAUGUUAAAAUGAACAGAAGAAACCGCUUUGCACGAGGUUAGGCAAGUUUACUGUAUGUUAAAAAACUGUUUCAGUGUAUACUGAAGUUAAAAUAUAUUUGCAAAUUUAAAUCAAAUAUUCAACUACUUUUAAGGGGAGGAAACUAAAUUUAAGAAAAUUAAAUAUGCAUUUCUAGUUUAACAGAAAGAAUGAGAUUUUGUUAAAAGUGCUAAAUUCUCUUUCAACACUAAGCCUACAAUUCAGUUUAGAAGAACAGCAAACGCUCAAAGGUUAAAUAAUAUAUAUAUGCUUGACGCUCUCUGUAUUAUCGAAUAUUAUCAUAACUAAUGGAAAUAACUAUGGAAAAAGAAGCUGAAGUAUGGUUAUGUAAUUUUCUAACGCGUGCAAUCGUUAGUCUUGUUUUUGUCAUCUACCAAAGAAUCGCAAUACCGCGAA